rnacentral:tRNA from 1 species
CUGGGUGUAGCGCAGUUUGGUAGCGCGCUUGAAUGGGGUUCAAGAGGUCGGAAGUUCAAAUCUUCUCACUCAGACCA